GGCAGGCAGAUGCUGCUGGGGAACCCAGGCGGCUCUGCACCGCAGAGAUCUCAGGGUCUGCGGUGCAGGCAGCAGUGGGGCCGAGCUCCCCAGAACCAGCGUUAAGCAGGGAACACGCACGAGGAAGAGACAGGUGGCCGGGAUAACGGCAUCCUACCUCUGUCCCCAUCCCAAGAGGAGCACAGCACUCAGCUGGAUGCAUUUCCACACCAGCUGCCGGUUAUCUUCUGAGGACAGACCUGUUGGGGAGCGCUGCGUAGUGCCCAUGCCAGACCGCACACUGCUGCAACACCAGCCACGUAUCUGCUGGGCAGACGGUCACCUUGCCCUGGCUCUCCCUGGGCCGCAUACCUGAGAAGCAGGGGAUUUUGCCUGGCGAGAAGUGUAGGCUCGCUCUCCCUUUCACAGCUCACACAGCAGCUCAUGUGCAGUUCCAGUUACCCAUCCAAACGUCGGCUAGAGGCUACAAAAGGUAUUUUAAGUCUUUUGACUCAAGCGAGGAUGUUUUUAUGUAGUUGUUGCACGAGGGCACCCAUCUCCUCUGGGGAGCAGCAGCCAAGUACAGCCCAGCCAAGCCUGCUCCGUCCUGCCUGGCCUCUGGGCGAGGGAGAGCCACGGUUCAUGUCUCAGCGUCCUCCUUCGCUGGGAACACAGGGCAGCCUCGCGUGGGGACACUCGGGUCCGUCUCGCCCACGGGCAGCAGCACCCAGCAGUCACACCUCGCAGAUGAUCACGGGGAAAUCCACAUGAAUGCGAGGGUGCUCCAGCUUAACUAUGCCCUGAGGUAUCAGGUUCUUGUGGAUCCUCUUCAGCUUGGCACGCUUCCUCCCGUUCUUGGUGACGAUUGUCUCCUCGUAGAACUCGUGGGCAAGAUCCCCGUCCUCGUCGUAAUACAUGGAGCCGCGGCGCGUGAAGACGAAGGGGGUGGCGGCGCGCCCGCCCCGCGCCCGGGCCAGGGCCUGCUGCCCGCCGGGGCCCUCGGCUCCGCCGCCGCCCGCCGCCGAGGAGGCGAAAGGCCACAGCCCCCGGGACUUGGAGCCGCUGGCACCCAUGGCGGCGGCGGGGACCGGGGGAAGGGGACGGGGGAAGGCGGGGGGCGGCCCGGCGAUAGCGGCACAGCGCCCGCCCGGCCGCCUCCCUGCCUGCCUGCACCGCAGCCGCCGCCGCGCUACGACACUUCCGGCGCGCGCCGGAGGCGCCCCCCUCACGUGACGCGGAGAGGUGGCGCGCCCUCGUCACGUGACGACGGAGCGGGGCGCGCCCUCUCCCUCGCGGCGGGAAGCGGGAGGUCGCGGGUUCGAGUCCCGCCGCCGCCUCUCCGCCCGAGGCCCGGGCCGACCGCGCAGCGCAGACACGGGCACGCCUCGCCUCUUCUCGCAGCGUUUUAUUGAUCGGAGCGCGACGCCCCGCGCCGCCCCGCGCUCCCGGCGACGUGCCCCCGCCGGCGGGCGGCCGUGCCGGUGCGGUUGGCGUCAGCCCGGCGUGCGGGCGGCCAACGCGGCUUGCAGCUCCCGGCGGCAGCGGGCGUAGCGGUGGCGGACGCGGCGCAGCUGCUCGUCCUCCUCGCGUUGCAGGAUGCGCAGGAAGUUGUGCAGCUCUGGCAGCGAGAAGGCGUCCCACUGCGGAGACACAGCGCCGCUACGUCGCACCGCCGCGCACGGCGUCGCGGCGCGGCCCCGCGCCUCCCCCGCCGCACUCACGUUCACCUCGCCGCUCUCGUUCUCCUUCAGGACGAAGCUCAGCGCCUUCUCGCUGGGCCCUGCCAACAGCCGCAGCCGCAGCGGCUGCUCGUCGUCCGCCAGCUUGCGCAGGUACACUGCGGGCACACGUGGCACCGGGAUGGCACCGCCGCGGCUCGGGGACGCGGCUGCUGGAAGGGGCUGCCGCCCCGGGGACGCCGCCACGCUUGGGGGCAUCAUCGCUGCCACUGCGGGGCCGCUACCCCCACAGCGUGCCGCCGCCAUGGGGGACACCGCUGCUAGAGCGGUGCGCGACGGCCAUUGGGACGCCGCCACUACGGGGAUGUCGCCGCAACGGGGGACAGCGCUGCGGCCACACGGACCGCGACCGCAGGGGACGCGGUGGACGCUGCCACGGUGGGGACAGCACCGCCACAGGAGGGGCUGCUGAGAACUCCAGCACCGUGGGGGCCACCGGCGCUACGGGGACGCUGCUGCUACGGGGAUGCCGCCACCCCGGCUCUACCUUGCUCAUCCUUCUCGGACCGCUCGAAGAGGGCGAACUUGCGGGGGUCGUCCACCACGGUGAACUUGCGGAGCAGCGCGCCGAUCACCUCGCUGGCGCGGGUGUGGGAGAGCACGUGCAGGUGCUUGACGGUGCCGCGGGGCAGGUAGAAGGACGUGCGGCGCUUCACGCCCGCCGUGCGCUGCCCCGGCCGCCCCCCAGGGCCCCGCUUGGCGGCCGGCACAGAGACGGGGCGUGCCAGCUUCAGGUGCACCUUGAUGAAGCCGGUGUAGGAGCCAUCCUUGUUCAGGCUCAUGAAGAGGUUGCUGUUGAUCUGGCUGUUGUACUCCUUGAUGCGUUGCUCCACCUGCGCCGGGUCCAGCUCCGCCGUCUCCCAGCUGCUGGGCUCAUCCUGGCGGCGACGCGGGCGGCGGCCGAAGGAGGUGCGGGCGGUGUAGAAGAGCUCGGGCUCGGAGUCGGAGUCCUCCUGGCUGCAGUAGCCGCUGCUGGCCGCGCUGCCCCCCGAGCCCCCCGCGCCGCCCCAGCGCAGCGCCAGCGCCGCCGCAGCACCGCAGCCGCCGCCCCCCGCCCCGCCGCCGCCGCCGCCGCCACCGCCCCCCACCCCGGCCACGGCUGCGGCAGCCCCGGCCCGGGCACAGGGGCACGCCUGGCCCCGCGCCAGCGCGCCCGCUCCGGCUCGGUUCCGCACGGCCCCGCUGCGCUCCGAGCGCUUCGCCAGGCUCGGCUCGGCUCGGCUCAGCGCCGCUCCUCGGCUCAGGCCCCCGCUCGGUUCGGUCCCGCGUCCCGGUCCCGGUUUCGGUCUCGGCUCGGCCCGGUGCCUCGCGCAGUCCCCGCCCGGCUCCGCUCUCUCCCGCUCUCCCGCUGCCCGGCUCGGCUCAGCCCGGCCCCGCCCCGCCGUGGCCGUUGGCCUGACGCGGGCCGGGGGCGGUGCGGCCGCGUUUCCGGCGGUGAUUUCACCCGGGCCGCGCACCCUGCAGUCCCGGGACUGCUGCGAGCGCGGCGCGACGUCGCGUGGCACGGCACGGCACGGCAUAGUUUGGCACGGCACGGCACGGCAUAGCAUAGCUUGGCA
rnacentral:lncRNA from 1 species